rnacentral:rRNA from 1 species
CCUACGGGAGGCAGCAGUGGGGAAUUUUGGACAAUGGACGCAAGUCUGAUCCAGCCAUGCCGCGUGUGGGAAGAAGGCCUUCGGGUUGUAAACCACUUUUGUCAGGGAAGAAACGGCUCGGGUUAAUGCCUUGGGCUAAUGACGGUACCUGAAGAAUAAGCACCGGCUAACUACGUGCCAGCAGCCGCGGUAAUACGUAGGGUGCAAGCGUUAAUCGGAAUUACUGGGCGUAAAGCGUGCGCAGGCGGUUAUGCAAGACAGAUGUGAAAUCCCCGGGCUCAACCUGGGAACUGCAUUUGUGACUGCAUGGCUAGAGUACGGUAGAGGGGGAUGGAAUUCCGCGUGUAGCAGUGAAAUGCGUAGAUAUGCGGAGGAACACCGAUGGCGAAGGCAAUCCCCUGGACCUGUACUGACGCUCAUGCACGAAAGCGUGGGGAGCAAACAGGAUUAGAUACCCUGGUAGUCCACGCCCUAAACGAUGUCAACUGGUUGUUGGGAGGGUUUUCUUCUCUAGUAACGUAGACUACGUCGUGUAGUAGACGCCGUGGGAGGUACGGCCGGCGAGGUAGUUAAAGUUAAAGUAGUUAAGUUAGUAGGCGUUGAGAGNGCGACGGACGACGACGAGGGAGGAGG